AUGGUGCCGCCCCUCGUCGCCGGCGGCGGCCUGCUGCUCGCCGCCUUCGUGGCAUUCUCCCUCGCGGCCUCCUCGGCCAAUGCCGCCGUCUCCUACGACCACCGCUCCCUCCUCAUCAACGGCCGGCGCCGCAUCCUCAUCUCCGGCUCCAUCCACUACCCGAGAAGCACACCAGAGAUGUGGCCGGGGCUCAUCCAGAAGGCCAAGGACGGCGGCCUCGACGUCAUCCAGACCUACGUCUUCUGGAACGGCCACGAGCCGGUGAAGGGCCAGUACUACUUCAGCGACCGGUACGACCUGGUCCGGUUCGUGAAGCUGGCGAAGCAGGCCGGCCUCUACGUCCACCUCCGCAUCGGCCCCUACGUCUGCGCCGAGUGGAACUUUGGUGGCUUUCCUGUUUGGCUCAAGUAUGUGCCCGGCAUCAGCUUCAGGACAGACAAUGGCCCGUUCAAGGCAGAGAUGCAGAGGUUCGUUGAGAAGAUUGUGUCCAUGAUGAAAUCCGAGAGGCUGUUCGAAUGGCAAGGCGGUCCGAUCAUCAUGUCUCAGGUGGAGAACGAGUUUGGGCCGAUGGAGUCUGUCGGGGGCAGCGGCGCCAAGCCGUAUGCGAACUGGGCUGCCAAGAUGGCUGUCGCGACCAACACCGGCGUGCCAUGGGUGAUGUGCAAACAAGAAGACGCCCCAGACCCCGUGAUUAACACUUGCAAUGGCUUUUACUGUGAUUACUUCACCCCAAACAAGAAGAACAAGCCGACCAUGUGGACCGAGGCCUGGACCGGGUGGUUUACGUCGUUCGGAGGGGCGGUCCCUCACCGGCCGGUGGAGGACAUGGCCUUUGCGGUGGCCAGGUUCAUACAGAAGGGUGGCUCCUUCGUCAACUACUACAUGUACCACGGAGGAACCAACUUUGGACGUACCGCGGGCGGUCCCUUCAUCGCAACCAGCUACGAUUACGACGCCCCGAUCGACGAAUAUGGUUUGCUUAGGCAGCCGAAAUGGGGUCACUUGAGGGACCUGCACAAAGCCAUCAAGCAGGCUGAGCCUGUACUGGUCUCUGGUGAUCCGACUGUCCAGUCGCUAGGGAACUACGAGAAGGCAUACGUCUUCAAGUCGAAGAAUGGAGCUUGCGCCGCGUUCCUGUCAAAUUACCACAUGAAUGCUGCAGUGAAAGUCAGGUUCAAUGGGAGACACUAUGACCUCCCUGCUUGGUCCAUCAGCAUUCUGCCGGACUGCAAAACAGCGGUUUUCAACACCGCGACGGUGAAGGAGCCAACACUGCUGCCAAAAAUGCAUCCGGUGGUGCGGUUCGCUUGGCAGUCGUAUAGCGAGGACACAAACUCACUCGACGGCAGCGCCUUCACGAAGAAUGGCCUGGUUGAGCAGCUGAGCAUGACAUGGGACAAGUCAGACUACCUGUGGUACACCACAUACGUCAACAUUGGUGCCAAUGAGCUCGCAAAGAACGGCCAGUGGCCUCAGCUCACCAUCUACUCCGCUGGGCACUCGAUGCAAGUCUUCGUCAACGGAAAAUCAUACGGUUCUGUUUAUGGCGGUUACAACAACCCGAAGCUGACGUAUGACGGGCAUGUGAAGAUGUGGCAAGGGAGCAACAAGAUCUCCAUCCUGAGUUCAGCAGUUGGCCUUCCUAAUGACGGGAACCAUUUCGAGAGGUGGAAUGUCGGCGUCCUCGGGCCGGUGACCGUCUCCGGGCUAAAUUCGGGGAAGAGAGACCUGAGCCAUCAGAAAUGGACAUAUCAGGUUGGCCUGAAAGGCGAGUCGCUGGGGCUCCACACCGUCGCCGGAAGCUCCUCCGUGGAGUGGGGCGGUCCUGGUAACAAGCAGCCACUGACCUGGCACAAGGCCUUGUUCACCGCGCCGGUGGGGAGCGACCCGGUGGCGCUGGACAUGGGGAGCAUGGGGAAGGGGCAGAUGUGGGUGAACGGCCACCACGUCGGCCGGUACUGGUCGUACAAGGCCCCCUCCGGCGGCUGCGGCCGGUGCAGCUACGCCGGGACGUACCGCCAGGACAAGUGCCGCUCCAACUGCGGCGAGCUCUCCCAGAGAUGGUACCACGUGCCGCGCUCGUGGCUGAAGCCGGGCGGCAACCUGCUGGUGGUGCUGGAGGAGUACGGCGGCGACCUCACCGGCGUCGCCAUGGCCACGAGAAGGACGACAUGA
rnacentral:rRNA from 1 species